AUGCGAGUCGAGCGGAAACGAUCCUAGCUUGCUAGGAGGCGUCGAGCGGCGGACGGGUGAGUAAUGCAUAGGAAUCUGCCCGGUAGUGGGGGAUAACCUGGGGAAACCAGGCUAAUACCGCAUACGCCCUACGGGGGAAAGCAGGGGAUCUUCGGACCUUGCGCUAUUGGAUGAGCCUAUGUCGGAUUAGCUUGUUGGUGAGGUAAAGGCUCACCAAGGCUGCGAUCCGUAGCUGGUCUGAGAGGAUGAUCAGCCACAUCGGGACUGAGACGCGGCCCGAACUCCUACGGGAGGCAGCAGUGGGGAAUAUUGGACAAUGGGCGAAAGCCUGAUCCAGCCAUGCCGCAUGUGUGAAGAAGGCUUUCGGGUUGUAAAGCACUUUCAGUGAGGAAGAACGCCUUCGGAUUAAUACUCCGGAGGAAAGACAUCACUCACAGAAGAAGCACCGGCUAACUCCGUGCCAGCAGCCGCGGUAAUACGGAGGGUGCGAGCGUUAAUCGGAAUUACUGGGCGUAAAGCGCGCGUAGGUGGCUUGAUAAGCCGGUUGUGAAAGCCCCGGGCUCAACCUGGGAACGGCAUCCGGAACUGUCAGGCUAGAGUGCAGGAGAGGAAGGUAGAAUUCCCGGUGUAGCGGUGAAAUGCGUAGAGAUCGGGAGGAAUACCAGUGGCGAAGGCGGCCUUCUGGACUGACACUGACACUGAGGUGCGAAAGCGUGGGUAGCAAACAGGAUUAGAUACCCUGGUAGUCCACGCCGUAAACGAUGUCGACUAGCCGUUGGGUUCCUAGAGAACUUUGUGGCGCAGUUAACGCGAUAAGUCGACCGCCUGGGGAGUACGGCCGCAAGGUUAAAACUCAAAGGAAUUGACGG
rnacentral:rRNA from 1 species